rnacentral:rRNA from 1 species
GACGAACGCUGGCGGCGUGCUUAACACAUGCAAGUCGAACGGGCCUUGUCCCCUUUUUUUUUGGGGGUGGGGUUAGUGGCGAACGGGUGAGUAACACGGGAGUAACCUGCCCCUCACUUCUGGAUAACCGCUUGAAAGGGUGGCUAAUACGGGGUGUUCUGGCCUGCUCGCAUGGGUGGGUUUGGAAAGAUUCGACCGGUUUUGGUUGUUUUGGUGGGGGAUGGGCUCGCGGCCUAUCAGCUUGUUGGUGGGGUGAUGGCCUGCCAAGGCUUUGACGGGUGGCCGGCCUGUGAGGGUGGGCGGUCACGCUGGGACUGAGACACGGCCCAGACUCCUACGGGAGGCAGCAGUGGGGAAGAUUGCACAAUGGGCGCAAGCCUGAUGCAGCGACGCCGCGUGAGGGAUGGAGGCCUUCGGGUUGUGAACCUCUUUCGCCAGUGAAGAAGGUCCUGCUCUUUGUGGUGGGGUUGACGGUAGCUGGGUUAAUGAAGCGCCGGCUAACUACGUG